AAGCACCCAAAAGUCUUGUUGCUUAUCUGAACUACAGCUGCAUCUGCAAAACUGGGCUAGAAAUCUCCAGGGGUAUGUUUUUCAUAAGAUUUCUAAUAUUUCCCUUUUCCAGUCAGGCUGGAAAGAUGAGAGAAUCCUGCCUCUGCUCCUUGUCCCAGACAGAGCCAGGAAAUGAGAGAUAACCAUCUGCCUUAUACCUGGUGGGAGAUGUGAACUUGGCAUAAUGUUCACUACUCCGGGCUUUGUCUGUGUCCAGCCUAAUAGAUGAAUGUCACUGGGCUUUUCAUUACAAGAUGAACCUGCUGCUGGAUGCCCCGGGCUUUAUCUGCAUCACAGAAUUUUCAAGGCCACGUGUUCCACAGAGAUCUGCCAGGGUAACUACAACGCGGACACAUCUACCUUCACCUCCAGUGACCUAGCUCUGUGGUUGAGAAGCAUGGCAGCAGACUACACUGUCUCCUAUUGUGGUCUCUUCAUCCUAACAAUCUGGAUCUACUUGAGCAGUCUCUUUUCAGUAUGUAAUUGUGCAGUCUCAGCUUCUAGGGUAAAUUUGCCUGGAUUUUAUCACAAUGGAGAGCCCACAAGAACUAACAAGAACUAAAACCUGCGACAAUGAAAGAUUAUUCUUUACAGUUUUUCAUUCCAGGACAUGAGACCUUAAGAAAACACCUAUGUCAUGGGACUGACGAUGAAACAUAGGAAGCUCAUAAGAACUGUAGUGACAGCUUUUGCAAAUCAUUGCCUAUCCACUGGUAGAAUAAGGCAGCAGUACAGUUUAAGACUGUUGAGCAAUUAGAUAUGUUUGGUCACUACUGGUCUGAUAUGGAUUAACUGCGAGUUUAGAUGAGAUGAUCGAUGUUCAUUUUUAAUCUUACUGCCUACUAUCUCCAAGUUGUGGCGUUUGGACUCUCAUUAUGCCAAGAGUUGUAUGCAUAUUCGUAUGAUAUGCCACAGAAAUGUAACAGAAAAAGGAUUGGGGGUAAGGAAACUCUUAUUCCAUGCAUCUAGUUAUGAAACAGAAGUGUACGGGUAAAGAUUCAGAUCCCAAAGUUCCUGAAAAUAUACAUAGAACAAUUUUUAUUAACUUCAUCGAGUCAUGAAUUAAGUCUUAACUAAUUUGUUCAAGAUCAAAAGGGGGAAGUCUGAGGUAGUCUGAAAACUGAAUUUGUUAUUCUUCGUCCAGGUCUUUAAAGUGGUGACCUGCUGUGUUCUCUAGUCCUGGUCCUGUCUUGCUGUAUAUCUUUGUAUACAGAAGGAAAAAUUAAUUCAGGAAAUACCUCUCAACAGAUUGAUUCAGGGUUUCAAAUGAUCCAUUCACCAGUCUUUGGAAGUUUCUCAUAACUUUCCCUGUAUACUACUAAAGUUUGCCAUUGGGUGCCCAUUCACUUCACGUAAUUAUAAGCAUCUUACUUCAUUUUUGGAACUUCAUAGCCACAAUAGUUGCUUGUUGAAAGCACCAUCUUUUGUGCUUUUUGUGCUUCAAAGUUCAGAUUGGGUCACUGAAGCAACUGGACCAAAUCCAUAAAGAACUAUGUGUGAAAAGUGCAUAGCCUUUCUGCCUUCAAGCUGAAACUCAUUCUGUGGCUGUAAAUCAAGUGCAGAUGGUAGAUUAAGAAACAUCAUCUGUAGUUGGAGAUGCUGGUCAGCCAAGUGGAGUGGCCAAGAACAUGUCUCAUCGAGCCAUAUGAAAGCACUGUGGUGAUGCAGAUCUGACACGUGCAAACCUCACUGAGGUGGUGUCCCAGAAGGCAUUUGCAUUUGAAACUUUUCUUUGAGUGGGGUACAAUGACAAGUUUCCUGAAAUCUCUUUCAGGAGGCUCAGAGAGCCUCAACAUGCUUUUUCACUUCUUCCUCAGUGACUAGUGACGUGGGGUGUUCAGGCUGGGCUGUAUUAACAAGGCAGCAUCAUGUAAUCUGAGAACGGUAAUGAAGUUAGUUACUAACCUUCCUUGACAGAUUCCCAAGCAAGGGCAAAGCAGGACAUAGCCCUAAGCAUCUCUAUAACAUUUAAAUAGGAAUCAGGCAUUCAAACCUGUGAAUGGAUGAAAAUGAGCUCUGGACAAUAUAGACAUUAUUUUCUGACUUGGGAUCUCAGCCAGACAGGCAGAAGGAACAACGCAUUGAACUCACAGCACAUGGCGUGUUUCCAUCUGAAAUAUACUGACUACUUUGGGGAUGGGUGUACUGAAUUACACACCACUUCUUCCUCCUGGUGACUGUGGAGGAUACCAUGAGCUGUCAGUGCAUUAUGCUAGAUCAGACCUCUCUAUUUCAUUUAGCCUUCCUUCAAGUUAAGCUCAAUCAAGUUCAAAAAUCUUCUCAGCUUCCUUUACCUUAAAGCAAUCCUUUCAGGAUAUUAAGAAAAAAACAAACAAACAAAAACAAACAAACAAAAAAAAAAAACCCAGAAGCCAGAUCUCUGAAUUCUCAGGCUCCUAAACCAUAAAACUAAUCUUAAAAUUUUGAAAACUACUUAUCAUGAUAUUUUUCUUAUUAUUCAUCCUUAAAUAUGGUAAAUGGACUAGACCAGCAGUUACUAACUUCAGACUACAGUGAUCUGUGGGGUCAUGAUAUGCUCUGUGCAGCAAUAGUGGCUAACUUCAACUUGACUUAAUAAAGGUUUAUGGGAGUACAGGAGAACUUCUGGGAAUAAGAGUGGCUGACUGAUCAAAAAUGUAGGACAAGCUCAUUGAACAACCCUGUUUCCCAUCUAGUUGUUUUUCCUUUGUGGUAGUAGCAUUGCACUGUAGCAUUAAAAGCUAAACUAGUAUAUUUAGCUGAAAAUAAAUAUAUUUCAUACCAAAAUAUAUACUAAGUUUUGCAGAGCAUUUGAGACAGAAUCUCAGCUGAUCUUAAUUAGCAUAGUCUGAUGGACCCAUGUCGGCUUACAACGCUGAGGAUGUGCUCUCAAUUUUCAUGGUAAAUCUAUUUCCAAGGCAUCUGGCAAAGUCCUAGUCACUGUGGCUUUGCAGCAAGAGAGUUAACAAGGUAGUGAUGCUUGGGAAAAGUUUUUUUUAUCAUCUACCCAUGAGGAUACAAAUGUGGAGCAUAUGAAGCUUAGGAUAUAAGGCCACGUUGAAGCCUACCCAUUGAUUUUACUAGGUUGAUCAGGGCCUCAGUGACCUUUCUGAGUGACAAGCUGGAAGUAUGGAAUGUAGUCUUUAGAGGAAAGUGCAGACAAGACCAGGAGCUAAUGGGGAGGAGUCGUGAGGAAGAGGUCCCUAGGUAACUAGGGACUAGGUGAGUGGGGAGGAAAAAGGAAUAGAGGCCUGACUAGAGGACAGAAGCUCUAGAAUGAGCCAUUUCCGAGGGCCAGAGGCACAGGCUGUGUCUACCAAAACAAAAGCAAGAGACCUGGCUGAAUACUGAAUAUUUAUGUUUCUUGGCAGCGUUGUGUAUAUGUAGAGUACCUCCCACAGACACCAUGGUUUGUGGCUGCUUAGCAGAAGAGAACUAUAGAGCACACUGAGCUCUGUAUGAGUUCCUGAAAAGGUUAGAAAGACUAUCCCACAGAUAUUUUCUUUCCAAUAUGUGUAUGUGUAAUAGCUGUCUUAAGCAGUUAUUUAGGCAUUUACACUGAGCUUAUCACUUUAAUAUCUCAGCUAAAGCUUGGUGGGGAUUGUUUUUUGUAAAUGUUCCCAUUAAAACCAGAAAUGUUCCCGACUCAACAGUCAUUAACUUUUUGCAUCAAAGAUCUUCAGAAGAUUUUUCCCUGGAAAGGAUAGCCUAGAAUUUGAUGGUGAAGACUUUGGGCCAGCACAUGGGAGAAGCAGGGCAUAACACCUUACUUACCACACUGCAGAUAUGUUCAGUAACUUCAGGUUUUCUGGCAGCAACCACCUCUAAAAGCCCAAGAAAUGCUCAAGGGCUGUAGAGGUAAAUUAAACACCAUGAUCUUUCAGUCUCUGGCUUUUUCUUCUACUGACAUCAGUCUGCAAAAACUGGAGUAGUGGUAGUUUUUAGUGAUAAAACUCCCUGAAACUGAGCUGGUAACUAACUGUUUCCGAACAAUUAUAAACCUAGCCCAGAAGUGAAGAUCUGAUGGCCUGCUACCAAAAUAUACAUACAUACAUACAUGUAUCUCUUGCUUUCUCCCUGCAGUAACAAUUAUUUCAAAAGAAUCUGAGAUUAAACCUCAAGUAACUCAGCACUACGUAUAAAUGUCAGAGUCCUUUAGAAUGUUAAUUAGCUUCUUUGCUAGGACCUAUGAAUAUCUCUCUCUUCCUCCUGUUCUCCCUCUCUAAAAUAAUUUUCUGUUUCUGAUGUCAUUCCUGAUAAUCUUUCCUAUAUGCUUAUUAACUUUGAAUGUCUUGACUGCACACUAGGGAAAUAUUGUCCUUCGGUGAAAGUCCCUACAGGAAGUUGCAGGCGUUUUGCAUUUAUUGUGGUUAUUUCAAAUAUUGGAAAACAGAGAGAAGAAGCAAAAGGCAACUCAUGGGUCUUUUUAAAGAAACUUAAUACUUGUAGAACUUAUCCAACAUUCUUUUGCUCUUUUCAGUUCAUGCAGUCAUCUCUUUUGUUUACGGACCAGUGCUAAAUACAUUCUGGCAUAAUAAAACUAUGUACAUUUAAUAUUGCUAAUAACACUUACUGCUUUGGCAUUGAAUUCUACUCUGAAGAGGGGAAAUAUGCUCUAUUUUCAGAGUGCAAAAGUUAAAUGAUUUGGAUUCAAGUAGAUAUAAGCUUCCAUCCCAGAUUUGCACUGAAUCUUUGAGUUGAACCCUUACAUGAAUGUGAUUGAGAUUAUAUCUUUCCUUAUGAGAUGUAUGAAUUUUGGAUUCCAAGGGGAAAUGUUCAGUGUUCUAGUAAAGAAUUUUGUGUGGAACUGCAGAGCUGUUUGACUGACUUCCUGUCUUCCCCUCCCUCUAAAGGUGGUCUCUUUAACUUCAGGUCAAAAGCAUAAAUUUGGACUUAUCUGUGGAGCAACUGAUAAUACACAAAGUUCUGCACAGACAAAUCCAAAGAACAAAAAGAAUCUCGUCUGGCCCUUUUUAAAUAUUUUUUUUUCUACAAGCUGAAUAGAACUGAAAGCUUCCAAUGAAUUCUCUGGAUAUUUGAAAGCAGAAAUCAGUGACUCAGAAAAUAUGUUCUAUUGCUGGUAUUUCACAAGCCACUAUUAAGAUUUUGGACAACUGAUUUGUCUUU